UCAUUCUUCAAACCUUUGUUGAGUUAGUGGUGUGGCUUCUACUUAUUUGAACCCUUGCUGUUACUGUGUUUUUAAAGCUCAACUAUGAUCUUGUACACUGGAUGGGUUUUGGGAUGCGAGAGAUGACUGAUUUCAAGUGCCUUUGUUUAUGAACACCUUAAACAAAGGGAUCUGUCUUUUGUAUUUAGGCUACAGGGUGUUGAUAAUUCAACACUUUAUGGGUGUGUUGUCUCUUAGUUGAAGAGUUAGUGCAAAAACCCUCUGGAUUUCUCUCCCUGGUUUCUGAUAAGAAGUUGACUUAUUCUUCUUUCAAACGCCAACGCCAUACAUUUACCACACAGAGAUGUUGUUGCAUUCUCUCAACGCCAUAUAUUAACCACAUAGGUAUGGUUUCGUCCCCUAUGAGGGGUGAAAUGUUGAUGAUAUUUGCUAUAUCUAGUCAUUUAUUCUAUUAAUUUUUGGAAGGAUGGUUUUGUUAGUAUUAACAAGUGAUAUGUUGUGUCCUAUAUGCACCAAAACUGUGUCAAGUGACUGCUACUCAUUUGCUGCGGGUUUAUGGAAUUAAUGUGUAGUACUUUUUGAAACAUAUAUGUGCUAGAUUGCUAGUAUUUUGUAUGUUUUGUGAAGUUGACUUGUA